rnacentral:rRNA from 1 species
GAUGAACGCUGGCGGCGUGCCUAAUACAUGCAAGUCGAGCGAACAGACGAGGAGUUUGCUCCUCUGACGUUAGCGGCGGACGGGUGUGUAACACGUGGAUAACCUACCUAUAAGACUGGGAUAACUUCGGGAAACCGGAGCUAAUACCGGAUAAUAUAUUGAACCGCAUGGUUCAAUAGUGAAAGACGGCUUUGCUGUCACUUAUAGAUGGAUCCGCGCCGCAUUAGCUAGUUGGUAAGGUAACGGCUUAUCAAGGCAACGAUGCGUAGCCGAACUGAGAGGGUGAUCGGCCACACUGGAACUGAGACACGGUCCAGACUCCUACGGGAGGCAGCAGUAGGGAAUCUUCCGCAAUGGGCGAAAGCCUGACGGAGCAACGCCGCGUGAGUGAUGAAGGUCUUCGGAUCGUAAAACUCUGUUAUUAGGGAAGAACAAAUGUGUAAGUAACUAUGCACGUCUUGACGGUACCUAAUCAGAAAGCCACGGCUAACUACGUG